GGAUGUGAGGGUGAUUUGGCUAAGACAUCUGUCACCCCGUUGAUCGCCAGGGUUGCUUUGGCUGAUCUGGCUUCCUCCCCCACCACUCCCUGUGCGUCCCUCCUGAAGCUGCAGCUGGGUGGAAGAGGACGGCCUUCCCCAAAUACAGACAGACCAGUCUUCAGUCAAGGAUAUACAGAAAGCUGCACUCCCCUGCUAGAACCUCCAAACAAGCUCUCAAGAGUUUGUUUUUCAGGCUGGGAGAAUAGCACAGUGGUUUUGCAAAAGACUCUUACACUAGGCUCUGA
rnacentral:snRNA from 1 species